ACUACCCUACGGGGGGUAGCAGUGGGGAAUAUUGCACAAUGGGCGAAAGCCUGAUGCAGCAACGCCGCGUGAAGGAAGAAGGUCUUCGGAUCGUAAACUUCUGUCCUUGGGGAAGAUAAUGACGGUACCCUUGGAGGAAGCCCCGGCUAACUACGUGCCAGCAGCCGCGGUAAUACGUAGGGGGCGAGCGUUAUCCGGAUUUACUGGGUGUAAAGGGGGCGCAGACGGCCAUGGCAAGCCCGGUGUGAAAGGUGCGGGCACAACCCGCAGACUGCACUGGUAACUGCCUGGCUGGAGUGCCGGAG
rnacentral:rRNA from 1 species